rnacentral:misc_RNA from 1 species
AGACUUGUAAAACAGUUGUUUUCUUCUCACACACGCUACGACAAAGAAUAUCAAUAACAUCAUAAUUCGAAUACAAACAAUCGAAUAAAUUACAACAUCCGAACUCCACUAAACUAACCCACUCCCCUUUCAAGGUGGGAAAAGAAAACCUCGUUCCAAAAUCCAUUUUGACAUUCAAAACAUUUUCCAACAACAAUAAGGCUCUCUGAGGACUAAC